UACGUAGGGUGCGAGCGUUGUCCGGAAUUAUUGGGCGUAAAGAGCUCGUAGGCGGUCUGUCGCGUCGGAUGUGAAAACUCGGGGCUCAACCCCGGGCCUGCAUUCGAUACGGGCAGACUAGAGUUCGGUAGGGGAGACUGGAAUUCCUGGUGUAGCGGUGAAAUGCGCAGAUAUCAGGAGGAACACCGGUGGCGAAGGCGGGUCUCUGGGCCGACACUGACGCUGAUGCGCGAAAGCCAGGGGAGCGAACGGG
rnacentral:rRNA from 1 species